rnacentral:lncRNA from 1 species
GAGGAUGUGUUGGAUCGAGAUCCGAGGCUAUAAGGGGGGAUAAUAGUCUUUUUUCGAUUUAUGCAAGUUAAUAGCGGAAUUACCUGCACACACUUAAGUACACAAAUGGUUGUAUAAUAAUAAUAGUAUAAUAUUGUUAGCAAUAUAAUACUAUUAUAUGAUUUUAAAGAAUAUAAUAUUAUAUCUUAUAAUAUUAUAUAUAUUGGACUUGUCUUUUGCUCUUGAAGUUUACUACAGUAUAUGAAUACGUAGUCAACUUUUCAGAUGGUGUUUUAUAAACAACUAUAGUAUAUGAAUACUAAGUUAUAUUAUAAACACAAGUUAUAUUAUAGAGUAAAUGACCAGAUAACUGGAUAUAUUGAUAAGCAAGUAAAUGACCAGAUAACUGGAUAUAUUGAUAAGCAAGUAAAUGACCAGAUAACUGGAUAUAUAUAUGAUAAGUAAAUGCUUGAACAAAUAUAAGGAUUUAAAGCAAUUAACAUAACCUCAGAUAGUUGACCAGAUAACUGGAUGAGGGAUCUGCGUAAAGUAGUCAAACUCUGUAUUUGACCAGAUAACUGGAAGAGGGAUCCUUUUCAAUUAAGUGUUGUUUAGUUGUUUUUAGAUGAAAGAUAAAAACUAGAGUUAACAAAGAACAACACAAGAGAUUUAUACUGGUUCACCCAAACAAGGGCUAGUCCAGUCCCGACCAACUGUCGGAAUUCACUCGCCUAAAGGUAAUGGCAAAACCUUAGAGUAUCAAGGAAACUCUUAAGAACCUCUCUAAGCUUUAAGGCUACUUCGCUUAGGAACCAGUCUUUUACGGGUAGACUCACACCUUAGAGUAUCAAGGGCACUCUUAAGAACCUCUAACUUUUACGGGUAAGUUAGUACCUUAGAGUAUCAAGGAACUCUUAAAAACCUCUCUAAGCUUUAAGGCUACUUCGCUUAGGAACCAGUCUUUUACGGGUAGACUCACACCUUAGAGUAUCAAGGGCACUCUUAAGAACCUCUAACUUUUACGGGUAAGUUAGUACCUUAGAGUAUUAAGAAACUCUUAAAAACCUCUGAAAUCUUUAAAAGUAGACUCGACCUAAGAGUUUUCCAGGAAACUCUAUAAAACCAAACUAGAGCUUUAUGGUUGAGCUCAAAAACCUUCUCUCACACUUUAGUACUAUUGAGACAACCCUCUCAACCAAAGUGGACACACACAAGAAGUGAUUAGAGGAGUGAAAUAUUAAAGCAAACAACACUUCUUACUUGUAAAGAUGAACAAGAAGAUUAGAAGAAGAAGUUGGAGAGCUUUUAAAGCUUUGGAAAGUUAGGACACUUGAGCACUUGAAAGCUUGGAAGCUUGGAGGCAAAAACGUGUGGGCAAGUGUGGAGUGAAAACUCUUGAGUUUGCU